GGGGCGUGGCUCAGAGGUAAAAGGUUGGAUUCCCAGCUUGGUGUAAAACUCGAUGGAGUUAGGAGGAUUAGGAGUUCAAAGCCAUCUUCUGCUAUAUACUCUAGCUCAGUCUAGGCUGUAGGAAAUUCUGUCUCAAAAGCAAACAAGCAAGCAAAACUCCAAACUCAAACAAAAAAUUAUGGUGAGCCACAAGCCUGGAGUCAGUGUGUUUUAUUGACAAAGGCCAAGGCCUCAGACCCGUGGGAACUGGCAAUGCCUUCCGCCAGGUGAGGCUCUGAGGCAUGGCAAGGGCUUUCUCUGGUCCAAGGAGAGUUUAUAUAGGAUUGAGCAGUGUGCACAAACUGACAACUGCAGUUUCCUCCUCCAGGGUGAAGCAACCAGGGAGGUGGUGGCCAGGUAAACUCAAUCCCUUUAACACCCUUGCUAGGGUGCAGUGUCAGAGGACAGAGAUUGAGGCUGCCAGCUACUUCUCAGGUUCUGCAGCUUUGGGGACAUCACUAGGGUAAGGGACAAAGAUGUGGCCACACCCUUACAGAGACAUCCUCCUGAGCAGCUCUCCAUGUACUGUACAUAAUAAACUCACUGAGGUCCUGGGUUAUUGUAUCGUUCGUACUACUCCAUCACAGUGAGCAUGGACCACCUAAUCCCAGCCUUCCUGUACCCAUGUCUGUGUGUCCGUCCCUCCUUCACUCCCUUGCUGCUCCAGUCAGAUUUCCAGGACCAAGCCAUGUAGGAUGAGGUGAAAAUCCAAACCAAACCAAAAUCCCACAAGAGAGAGAAUCUCGACCUUCAAAGAAAUGCCCGAUAGGGGAGCCAUAGAAGCAAGAAACAUGCUUCUCUGGUUAGCUCCCUGCCUGUGGUCAGGUGGUAACAGAAGGGCUCACUACCUGUCACAAGCAAGCCUAACACUGGGGCAUCUGGAAAUGGGUAGAAAAGGCAACGUGUCCUAGACAGACCCUUUGCUCAGUAGAAGUGGUGUAGAGAGUAAAAUAAUAUACUACCCUUACAAAGGACCAGAGUCAGGUUUCCGGAAUCCCAGUUAAACAACUUACAACUUAAAAAGCUCCAGGAGGUCUACUGCCCUCUUGUGGCCUCGAAAGGCACCUGUACUCAUGUGCACACGCCCCCACAUAGACACAGAACCAAAACAGAGCCUCUCUCCGAGACAAGCUGUUGCCCACAGAGAGGGUUCUGAGAAAUAGGAAGUUGAAGCCAUGUUUAGGAAGGCUCUCAUCCUCCAGAGAAUCGAGCAGGGAGCUUGGUUGCUUGAAGACAAGGAGAUAGAAGACUCUUGGACUGGGACAACAGGGCUAGUUGCAGACAGACAGUAGGACUAUGCUGGACUUUCUUCAGCAGUGCCAGAGCACAGGGACACGAUGGUAGACUGCAACGGGAAGUCAGGGUCUUGCUGUGGAGCCCAGGCUGGCUUGGAACUUGGGAUUGUCUCACAUCAUCUCCUGAGCACUGGGAUCGUAGGAUUUCCACCGCAAAUCCAUUCCUUACACUCUGAGGAACUAUCUUGGUCCAACCCUUGCCCCAUGGGGAGGAGCAGUGUCUGGCCUACAAACUCCAAGGCUGGAGGGGGAGCGGCGAGCAGCGAGACAAGAUGGAGCCCACAUGUGUCAGACAUCACCAGCUCUAAGAGUACUAGGCAGACUGAACCUUUAUUAUUGUUGUUGUUAUUAUUAUUAUUAUUAAUUAUUAUUAUUCUUCUUUUAAAAAUAAGCAGUAGAACGAUUAGGUCUGAUAGAAAAAAGCCGGCGAGACUGUUAGACAGCCUUUCUCUUGCCAGGUUUGUUUUAAACUGUCCCAGGCAGCAGGCUAUGGAGUCUGCCUGUUUUAACUUCCUCCAAAUAUCUGGGGCACAGGAACUGUGUCUUGUCACCCACGCGCCUGAGAGGUGGCAGCGGCCUGCCAAAACCAGCCACCUGCAUCCUUGUCCUAUACUCUAGGGACCUGAGAAUCAGCUGGCAGCCCGAUGAUUGAAGUCUUCUGACACUGCACCGUACCAAGGAUGUCAAGGGAUUUAGGUCACCCGGCUACCCCUCUGCCUCUUAUCAUCCUGUCCCUUUCUCUCCAUGCCAUGCCUACCCAGGAAGAAGCUCCAUCUCCUCCUGUCCGGUGUCCCUGAUCCAAUUUCCUCACGCCCCUUAGCUAGAAGGGGACCCUCUCCUGUUCUCCUUCAGACCCUCCCGAGACGCAGAUGGACGCUCUCGCCGCCGCUGAGCACUCACCCUGGCUGGCUAGCCCUCAGCGCGCUUGGCUCCAGUUCUCCGCUCCGGCUCGUGGCUAGCGUCUGUGUCGGGGCCGGGUGGCCCGGCAGCCGGGCCAGGGCGGAGGACCGGCCCCCUCCCUCUUUCCGCCCGCAGCCGCUGCCUAGGCAACGCUGCGCCGCCGUCACGUGACCCAUCCGUGGGGCCCGCCGCAGACCAUGUGACCUGAAGAGCUGGGUGGGGAUCGACCCCUCCUACAAGAUCUAGGGGGUCUUCACUUCAGCAAAGUGCUAUCAGCCCCUGUGGGGCUCAGGUGGGUGGGUCCGAGCGUGGGAGAGCCCUGCUUCUAGCCAGUGACACUAGGGGAUGCCCAGCAUCUGUUCUUGGCCGCGUGGAGAGGUGGGGACAGGGUGUGAGCGUUGCAGGGUGGGUAGAGGCGUGCAAGAAAGGCUCAGCCUGGCUACAUCCUGGUUUGCCCAGCUGGUGCAGCGACACCAUGCACAGAGCUACUGUGGUCACGCAGGUGGCUCUUGGUUCCAGCAAGGCCGUGAGGACCAAACACUGCCUUACACUAGAGCGCAAGGGACAUGCACUAACUGCUGAGCUCUGGGCACUUCAUGGGAGACAGAGAAGGGUCGUUUGGAGGCUGCGGCGAGGCACGCCCUUUCCACCCCCUGCUGCAGCCACCCUCCGUCACUGCUGGUGAACUCUGGGGUUUUACAACUGAGAAACUCAAACAGGAACGGCUCUGCAGGAAGUAUACACUAAGCAUACACGCAGCGCCUCAGUGGGUGCCUCGCGGCCUCUCGGAGUGUUUCCUAUUUGCCUGAUACGCUUCUGCUUGCGCGCUCCAUAUAGGAUUUUUCCAUCUGUCGCCAAAGCACUGGACUACGACACAUUAACCCAAAGGAAGGAAAAAUUCUACUCGUGUCCAAGUUUCCUGACAAUUGGGAGUGUAGAGACGCUACUGUGAUCAGUUUCGACUGGAGUCGCCGAACCCACUCACUUGGGACGGGUGAAAGCAAUUCCUCCCUCCUGGUGCUGACCCCACUUGGCAGCGUGGGCCAUCCCAGGACCUGCUCUGCUCCCCGUGUGCCUGCAUAAGGGUCUGAAUCUGAGGGAGCCACGUACUCUCAAGGCAACUGCCAGGCACCUUGCAGAGCUCAAGUUUGAGUAAAUGAAAACAGGAAGGAGACACUUGGUAAACCCCCAGCCAUUGCAUCACGGAUGACACUCUUUCGACAGGGUUUUUUUUUUUUUUUUUUGCUUCUUGCGGUUAUUAGGAGGCCUGGCGCUUUGGAGUAGGACUUUCCAGCGCCAGGCUGUGAGGCUCCUCCACAGCCAGCACAAUUAUCUGGCAUGCCUGGGCAAAAAUGAAAUGCCAACUGUAAUUACCAGUCCUCCUAGGAGCCACUUCGCUAACCAAACACAGGCAGCAGCUCUUAGUGCUGUUUGGCUCACUUCGUCCUUGGAAUGGAGGAAGCCAUCGUAUCUGUUUUGUUGAAAGGAGGGUCGGGCAGUCGUGGGGAGGGGGUCCACAACCCCUCUACCCCCUUAGGAUCCCAGGGCACCGACUAGGGGUUACACAGAAGGAAGGAGGUUCAGGUCCACAUGCAGGGUCUCUCCUGAGGGCGCCACAUUGCUGUCUGGGCUGUCUGCCUGACGUUGGUUAGUCUUGGCAAGUUAUUUCCUUUACUUAAAAAUUUUUUAAUUAUAUUUUAUUUAUUUAGUGGGGGCGGUGGUGUGCACCACAACACAUGUGUGGAGGUCAGAGGACAACUUGUGGGAGUUGGUUCUUUCACUGCACCAUGUGAAUUAAACACAGCUUGUUAGACUUGGCA